ensembl:snRNA RNU6-1146P RNA, U6 small nuclear 1146, pseudogene
GUGUUCGCUUCAGCAGCACAUAUACUAACAUUGGAACAAUAGAGAUCAGUAUGUUCCCUGUGCAAGGACGACAUGCAAAUUCAUGAAGCGUUCCGUGUAUUU